rnacentral:misc_RNA from 1 species
GUAUAAUAUAAUUUUUCCUCUCAAACACCCUCUGCUUCUUUCCUCCGCUCUAUAAAUCUUGCUCUCUUCCACCGUUGAACGCUACUCUAACGAAGCGCGCACGCUCUAACGUAGCUGCUGCUCUGCCUCUCACUUUCCUCGCCCUCCGCCUCUCCCUGCUCACAACAAGUCUCCUUUCAUUUCCCUGCUCUCUUUCUUGGCUGCCUCGCUUGUUGUUUCCUUCGAGUUCUUCAAUGCUGGAUCUCGUAAAAUCCGUCUGCAUGAUACGAGAGGGGAUUUUCUUUUGAGUACUGUUUCGUAAUCUCGGAAAAAUUUGGCUCACAUACAUAUAUUUAUUUAUAUACACAUAAUCUUAUUUAAGUUUUUUAAAUCCAUAUCCUGGUUUAAGAUCCUGUGUUUUUCCUUCCCAACUCAAUCAGAUUUUCUUUCAUUUGUAUUUCGAGUUUAAAAUUGUUAGAUUUGGUUGUGAAGAUACUGAAUCCCUUAAGUAUCUCCUAAAAGAUAUUGACAGAUAGAGAGCUCUUUCAGAUCUUUCGGAUAAGGUUGCUGGAUCUGAAACUCCGCAUUUCAUUUCUGUUGGAAUUUGAUAUACAAAGCUUAAAACAGUGCUUUGAUUGAUAGAAACGAAUUUCUAUAAGCAAAAGGAACGGUAGUUCAAACCCGUAAAGUUCGCCACUUCUUGGGGAAUUUAUCUCUUGCCUGUGUUUGAAACAAUAAAUACAAGGGGAAAGAAAGGAUCGUUUCUGAUUAGUUUCCUGGUUCGUCAAUAAUGUCGGCGGCAUCCAACUCUCUCCUUAAGCCCGAAGCUAACGCCUGUUCUCUUUCAACCCUCAGUAAACCUUCCUUUUCGCCUAAAUUAAAUGUUAUUGCUUCCGUAUCUGGCCGGAAUAACAGAGCUCCACGAUGCUCCGUCACCAAGAAAUCGACGGUGUUGGGUAAAAAGUUCUUUGGAACCAAACUGCGGGCUCCUGGGACGGAGAGACUUCAUUUAUGGCAAUCGGAUGGGCCCGGACGGUCACCAAAGCUUCGAGUUGUGGUUUCUUCCGCAUUGUCUGGAGUGCCGGAGAAACCCCUUGGU